rnacentral:rRNA from 1 species
GAUGAACGCUGGCGGCGUGCCUAAUACAUGCAAGUCGAGCGAACGGACGAGAAGCUUGCUUCUCUGAUGUUAGCGGCGGACGGGUGAGUAACACGUGGAUAACCUACCUAUAAGACUGGGAUAACUUCGGGAAACCGGAGCUAAUACCGGAUAAUAUUUUGAACCGCAUGGUUCAAAAGUGAAAGACGGUCUUGCUGUCACUUAUAGAUGGAUCCGCGCUGCAUUAGCUAGUUGGUAAGGUAACGGCUUACCAAGGCAACGAUGCAUAGCCGACCUGAGAGGGUGAUCGGCCACACUGGAACUGAGACACGGUCCAGACUCCUACGGGAGGCAGCAGUAGGGAAUCUUCCGCAAUGGACGAAAGCCUGACGGAGCAACGCCGCGUGAGUGAUGAAGGUCUUCGGAUCGUAAAGCUCUGUUAUUAGGGAAGAACAUAUGUGUAAGUAACUGUGCACAUCUUGACGGUACCUAAUCAGAAAGCCACGGCUAACUACGUG